rnacentral:rRNA from 1 species
GACGAACGCUGGCGGCGUGCUUAACACAUGCAAGUCGAGCGGUAAGGCCCUUUCGGGGUACGACGAGCGGCGAACGGGUGAGUAACACGUGGGUGACCUGCCCUCAGCUCUGGGAGUAAGCCUCGGGAAACGUGGGUCUAAUACCGGAUAUGACUCCAUGACGCAUGUUGUGGGGUGGAAAGCCUUGUGCGGCUGAGGAUGGCCCGCGGCCUAUCAGCUUGUUGGUGGGGUGANGGCCUACCAAGGCGACGACGGGUAGCCGGCCUGAGAGGGCGACCGGCCACACUGGGACUGAGACACGGCCCAGACUCCUACGGGAGGCAGCAGUGGGGAAUCUUGCGCAAUGGGCGAAAGCCUGACGCAGCGACGCCGCGUGAGGGAUGACGGCCU